rnacentral:rRNA from 1 species
GGAGAAGGAGCAUGAGAAACGGCUACUAUUUCUAAGGAAAGCAGCAGGCGCGCAAAAUUAUUCAAUGGAAACAAUUUUCCGAAAUAGUGACAAAAAAUAUCAAUGCUGGAUACUAUGUAUCUAGUAAUUGGAAUGAGUACAAUUUAAAUCCCUUAACAAGUAACAAUUAGAGGGCAAGUCUGGUGCCAGCAGCCGCGGUAAUUCCAGCUCUAAUAGCGUAUAUUAAUAUUGUUGCAGUUAAAAAAGCUCGUAGUUGAAAAUUUGGGACUUUAUUAUAUUGGUUUAUCUUUUGAUGAACUGUAUGAUGGGUUUCUUCCUACUAGAGUUCGAUUCUGUUCUUAAUUGAAUGGAGUAGCUAUCUUUCGGGGUAGUCAAUUCGUUAUUAUGUCUCCACUAAUGAGCGGAGAGGGGUAAAAACCUUCAAAGUAAGUUUUGUGGAUCAAGAUAUAGUGAUUAAUUGGAGUUCUAGUUCGUUUACUUUGAGAAAAAUUAAGUAGUGUUUAAAAGCAGCUCUUGGGGCACUGAAUACAUUAGCAUGGGAU